rnacentral:rRNA from 1 species
CCUACGGGAGGCAGCAGUGGGGAAUAUUGCACAAUGGGGGAAACCCUGAUGCAGCAACGCCGCGUGAGUGAAGAAGUAUUUCGGUAUGUAAAGCUCUAUCAGCAGGGAAGAGCAUGACGGUACCUGAGUAAGAAGCACCGGCUAACUACGUGCCAGCAGCCGCGGUAAUACGUAGGGGGCAAGCGCUAUGCGGAUUUACUGGGUGUAAAGGGAGCGUAGACGGCAGUGCAAGUCUGGAGUGAAAGGCGGGGGCUCAACCCCCGGACUGCCCUGGAAACUGUACGGCUGGAGUGCAGGAGAGGUAAGUGGAAUGCCUAGUGUAGCGGUGAAAUGCGUAGAUAUUAGGAGGAACACCAGUGGCGAAGGCGGCUUACUGGACUGUAACUGACGUUGAGGCUCGAAAGCGUGGGGAGCAAACAGGAUUAGAUACCCGGGUAGUC